rnacentral:lncRNA from 1 species
CUAGACAGCAAUGUUCAAGUCUUGCCAUAGAUUUUCAAGCAGAUAAGUCAAAACUGUAACUCGGCCACUCAGGAAGACUAACUGUCUUCUUGGUAAGCAACUCCAGUGUAGAUUUGGCCUUGUGUUGUAGGUUAUUGUCCUGCUGAAAGGUGAAUUCCUCUCCCAGUGUCUGGUGUAAAGCUCCAUCACAUUUCUUUGGUAUAAAGCUCCCCAGUAUUUGCCGAUGUCAAGCAUACCCAUACUAUGAUGCAACCACCACUUUGCUUGAAAAUAAGGAGGCAGUUACUCAGUGAUAUGUUGUGUUGGAUUUGCUCCAAGCAUAAGAAAUUACAGGAAAGACUGUUGUUAAAUGCGAGAGGCAAAAGUAGUGGUGUACACCCGGCUUUAUCAACAGCUGUAACAAGUUGUCCAGUGUAGGAAAUCCUCACUGGUACCCUAGAUUAUAGAAAGACCCAAUUGAUGUCCAGGGUGGAGCCUCUGGCUUCAAAAACUUAUGUUGUAAAUACUACAUUUUCACUCCAUGUCCAUUCUAGACCCACAUCACCAGUCUUCACCUCUACCACCGUAUCUCUCUAAGCCCCAGAAGUAGAGGGUCACAUGGGCAGGAAGUCGUCCACCUCCAGGUUGCACACAUACCAGAAGAUAAGGCUGAGAAAGAUGAUGAUGGGUCCAGAGAAGACCAAGAGGUCCCAGAAGAUGAAGAAAGCAAAAAUGCCCAGGAAGAGGCCUGUAGCGUCCAGGAAGAUGAAGAGAAGGCAGCGACCCAGCUGAGUGUCGGUACAGGUGCCGAGUGUCGGUACAGGUGCUGAGUGUCGGUACAGGUGCUGAGUGUCGGUACAGGUACUGAGUGUAGGUACAGGUGCCGAGUGUAGGUACAGGUGCCGAGUGUCGGUACAGAUGCUG